CACGGAGUUAGCCGGUGCUUAUUCGUAUAGUACCUUCAGCUACCCUCACGAGGGUAGGUUAUCCCUAUACAAAAGAAGUUUACAACCCAUAGGGCCGUCGUCCUUCACGCGGGAUGGCUGGAUCAGGCUCUCACCCAUUGUCCAAUAUUCCUCACUGCUGCCUCCCGUAGGAGUCUGGUCCGUGUCUCAGUACCAGUGUGGGGGAUCACCCUCUCAGGCCCCCUAAAGAUCGUAGACUUGGUGAGCCGUUACCUCACCAACUAUCUAAUCUUGCGCGUGCCCAUCCUCUAUCCACCGGAGUUUUCAAUACCGAAUGAUGCCAUCCAGUAUAUUAUGGGGUAUUAAUCUUCCUUUCGAAAGGCUAUCCCCCAGACUAAAGGCAGGUUGCACACGUGUUUCCGCACCCGUACGCCGACUCUCUAAGAUCCCGAAAGAUCUCUACCGCUCGGCUUGCAUGUGUUAGGCCUCCCCGCUAGCGUUUCAGUCCUGAGCCAGGAUCGAAAACUC
rnacentral:rRNA from 1 species